GAUGAAGAACGCAGCGAAAUGCGAUAAGUAAUGUGAAUUGCAGAAUUCAGUGAAUCAUCGAAUCUUUGAACGCACAUUGCGCCCGGCAGCAAUCUGCCGGGCAUGCCUGUCCGAGCGUCAUUUCUUCCCUCGAGCGCGGCUAGCCCUACGGGGCCUGCCGUCGCCCGGUGUUGGGGCUCUACGGGUGGGGCUCGUCCCCCCCCCGCAGUCCCCGAAAUGUAGUGGCGGUCCAGCCGCGGCGCCCCCUGCGUAGUAGAUCCUACAUCUCGCAUCGGGUCCCGGCGAAGGCCAGCCGUCGAACCUUUUAUUUCAUGGUUUGACCUCGGAUCAGGUAGGGUUACCCGCUGAACUUAAGCAUAUCAAUAAGCGGAGGA
rnacentral:misc_RNA from 1 species